rnacentral:lncRNA from 1 species
UAGCUUAAGGGUAUUUAUGUAUUAAUUAUUUAUAAUUCAUAAUAGGAGGGCAGAUAUUCUAUUCAUGCCUAUUGUAUAGCAGUUCAAUAUUGACAUGAAUCGUCCAUAGAGUCUUUGUUUGAAAAAAAAAUAUAUUCCUAAGAGUUAGGAAUUUGAGAUAUGUAUUUUUCUGUACAAGACUUUUUAAAUGCUCCUAGCCAGAGGAAUAUUACAGGGACGAUGAUAUUCCGGAUAGGCCGGUGUAUGCUAUGUUUCUAAUUAAGGUGACGAAUCUCAAGUCACUAGUGUAGGGACACUAGAACAAGCAUACAAGUGCUUGUUAGAGAACAAGUACACUGAGCGUGACUAUUUAGUUGAACAGUCAUAUGGUUCUAUGCUCGCCAGUGAUAAGUUCAUUGCUACAGUUGUGUGAAGUACUCCUUGGACCUGAGGCAUCAUAGUUGCUUCACGUAUAGAUUGCUACCGUUUGACAGUACUAAUACUUAAACUCUAGACAUGGGUCUAUGUUCGAUACUGAUUGGCUGUAGUGAUUUAUGCGAGGAGGCAUGUGAAUGCGCAAUAAGGAAUCCAACACUUUCAAUGACGAGGGAGAAUGUCCUAUGCAGUCUAUCGGACUUGACUCGGAAAACCCCUGGCCAGGGUACAUGGUAUGUGGAAAGAGUUUCCAACUGUGUUACCAUAUUGAGUUGAUUUCAGAUAGUCUAGUCAUAUGAUUGAAUGAUAAGGUUUGGCGAGUAACCAUGACCUUAGUUCGAUUGGGACGUUGUAUGUUGGAAGGAAUUAAUCACAUGGUAACUGUAAGCGGAAAGGUUCAUUCUUCAUCACCAUUCUGGAUUGCCGUGAUAUACUGCUAGGUGUCACUCACGGACGGUGAGAGAAUAUGAAUAAUUCGAAUUGAAUUGUUCUUAUUUAUCGAUUAGAAGAGUUCUAAUUAAAUAUCAAAGAGUUUGAUGUUGAGCUCCACUGCCGAAUGGUAAUGAACCUAUGCGGUCACACACAUUAGGAAUUGUGUGCACCCGAAUCGUUUGGAUGAAAGUCGUUCACUAAAGAGUUUAGUGUAAGCGAUGAAAAUAAAAGGAAGCUGCUUAAUUAAAUUAGAUUUAAUUAUUCGAUUCGGUUAUAACUGAUAGUCCUAAUUAGAUUAGGAUCUCAGAAUCAGUUUGAGAAUUAUGCGCGAGAUUUAAAUUUAUCUCUGAUUAGAUUAGGGAUAAUAUUUAAUCAUAAAAGGUAUUUAAAUGAGAUUUAAAUAUUAGUAAGUAAUCUUAUUGGAUAAGAUUAAAAUUAGAUAAGAUCUAAUUAAAUAUUGGAGAGAUCAAUAUUUAUCUCUAAUUGGAUUAGAGAAUAAUUAAAUAUUCAUAAUAUCUUAUAAGAUAAGAUUUUUACUAGAUUUGAUUUAGUUGGAUAAGCAUAAAUAUUUAAUUGUUAAAUUUUAUUAGAGAGAGAGAAAAAUCUUAUUAGAUAAGAUUUUAUGAAAUAAGAUUCUAUAUAUACAUAUAUAGAUUUAUAUGUAUGUAUGAAUAUGCAAUAAAUACAAAAAAAAAGAAAAAAAAAAGAAAAGUGAACCGUACGGCGCAUAGUGCCAUAUGGAUUGAAUGAAUGGUAAUUAAGAUGCCAUGCAUCUUAAUUAAUUUGAUGCAUGUUAGCCUUUUGAUCUAUAUACAUAUAGAGAUCAAUCUCUCCGAUUUCUCUCCCGCGCGCGUGUUUCUCUCCGAUCAACUUCUCUACUCUUCAUCGACUGGUGGAUCAUGAAAGGAUUGCUAGCACCGUCCAGAUGGUCCGUGACUCAUCCUAUUCGUGAGACGAAGAUCGAUCGGGUCGCCGAUUCCGUGUGGAUACGCGUAGAGGCCGGGCACAUGCGCGGCUCAUCGGAAUCUCUAUUCGUCAUAUUCAGUUUCAACCGUACAGUAGAUCAAGAGACCUUAACUGGUCCACGGUAAGAUCUCUGAACAUAAAGAGUUUUGUUUAGAUUAAAUUUUUGCAUAGUAACAUGAGAAUGAUCCGCCGGCAACGGUUUGAUUUAUUGAUUUUCGGUUUUCAUAUGUGAUAUGUAUUUGGCUUUCGAAAAAUUUUAAAAGUGCAAAAUUAUUUUUCGCUGCGUUUUUCUGAUAUGCCAGUUAUUUUCUU